GUGCAGAAUCGAACUGCUUUCGUGACAAUGUAUAUACACACAGAGGUUUUUUAUGAAUAAGGGGGAAUGCAACAAUGGUUCACCAGACAUGUUCCUGGGAUAGCAGGGCUGUCUUCUGAAGAGAAAUUGGGCGUACGGGGCCUCUAUUCUCUCACAUUUUGAAGGAUGAGAGGUGAUCGCAUGGAAAAUACAAAAUACUCGAAGAGAUAGAUAAGAUAGACGCAGGUCAACAGUCUGAUGAUGCCCCACAAUGCAAUUACUGAGCGUCAGAUGUGCAACUCCUUACAAAUCACCCAGAAUUCUACACAUCUGCUGGCUGUCAGCAUCUGCCACGCUCAGUCAUGUGCAAAUAAUGAAAAGCAUUUGUUAUUGCCCCAGAACAGUGUUCACAGAAACACAGUGGAAACUACUUCCUUAUAACAAUAAACAACGGACUACUGCAUCACUGGGAAUACUGUGAUGAGAUAUUGUUUCGCUCACAAGCCCUUCCAGUUAUUGAGAAUGUGCUGAUGUCACAGAUUUCAAAGGAAGUUUCCCAGCUCACCGAAUUUGAUCACUUUCCUGUGCAACAUUUCAUUGUACAGCUAGUUCUGUCUCAUUUCAUGCCAUUCAUAUUCACAAUACUUCAUUUUGCUCAAGUUUCUGUACAGUUGCACUUUCAAAUAAAUACAGUGCUAAUUUCA